CCGACAAGCGGUGGAUGAUGUGGAUUAAUUCGAUGCAACGCGAAAACCUUACCUACCCUUGACAUGUCUGGAACCUUGGUGAGAGCCGAGGGUGCCUUCGGGAGCCAGAACACAGGUGCUGCAUGGCUGUCGUCAGCUCGUGUCGUGAGAUGUUGGGUUAAGUCCCGCAACGAGCGCAACCCUUGUCACUAGUUGCCAUCAUUUAGUUGGGCACUCUAGUGAGACUGCCGGUGACAAACCGGAGGAAGGUGGGGAUGACGUCAAAUCAUCAUGCCCCUUAUGUCUUGGGCUUCACGCAUGCUACAAUGGCCGGUACAAGGGCAGCUACUUCGCGAGAAGAUGCUAAUCUCGAAAGCCGGUCUCAGUUCGGAUCGAAGUCUGCAACCCGACUUCGUGAAGCUGGAUUCGCUAGUAAUCGCGCAUCAGCCAUGGCCGCGGUCGAAUACGUUCCCGGGCCUU
rnacentral:rRNA from 1 species